rnacentral:rRNA from 1 species
AGAGUUUGAUCAUGGCUCAGAUUGAACGCUGGCGGAAUGCUUUACACAUGCAAGUCGAACGGCAGCACGGGGCAACCUGGUGGCGAGUGGCGAACGGGUGAGUAAUACAUCGGAACGUGCCCAAUCGUGGGGGAUAACGUAGCGAAAGUUACGCUAAUACCGCAUACGAUCUACGGAUGAAAGCGGGGGAUCGCAAGACCUCGCGCGAAUGGAGCGGCCGAUGUCAGAUUAGGUAGUUGGUGGGGUAAAGGCUCACCAAGCCAACGAUCUGUAGCUGGUCUGAGAGGACGACCAGCCACACUGGAACUGAGACACGGUCCAGACUCCUACGGGAGGCAGCAGUGGGGAAUUUUGGACAAUGGGGGCAACCCUGAUCCAGCCAUUCCGCGUGAGUGAAGAAGGCCUUCGGGUUGUAAAGCUCUUUCAGCAGGAACGAAACGGUGGCCACUAAUACUGGCUACUAAUGACGGUACCUGAAGAAGAAGCACCGGCUAACUACGUG